CGUUGGUCGGAAUCAUUGGGCGUAAAGCGCACGUAGGCGGUCUGUUAUGUCGGAUGUGAAAGCCCUUGGCUUAACUGAGGAAGUGCAUCCGAAACUGGCAGGCUAGAGUACUAAAGAGGGUCGCGGAAUUCCCGGUGUAGAGGUGAAAUUCGUAGAUAUCGGGAGGAACACCGGUGGCGAAGGCGGCGACCUGGGUAGAUACUGACGCUGAGGUGCGAAAGCGUGGGGAGCGAACAGG
rnacentral:rRNA from 1 species